rnacentral:rRNA from 1 species
AGACAGCUAGGAUGUUGGCUUGGAAGCAGCCAUUCAUUUAAAGAGUGCGUAACAGCUCACUAGUCGAGCGAUCGGGCAUGGAUAAUAAACGGGCAUCAAGUGGUAUACCGAAGCUUUGGCUUUACAGCAAUGUAAGGGGUAGGGGAGCAUUCUAAUUGCAGUGAAGAUAUUCCGUCAGGAGUGUUGGAGCGAUUAGAAAAGCAAAUGUAGGCAUAAGUAACGAUAAGGCAGGCGAGAAACCUGCCCACCGAAAGACUAAGGUUUCCUGAUCAACGCUAAUCGGAUCAGGGUUAGUCGGGGCCUAAGGUGUAGCCGACAGGCGAAGCCGAUGGACAACUGGUUAAUAUUCCAGUACUUUGUUGUACUGCGAAGGGGAGACGGAGUAGUGAAAGAACCGCGAACUGACGGAAUAGUUCGUUAAAGCGAGUAGUUAUAUUUAGUGUAGGCAAAUCCGCACUGAAUGGCGAACGUGAUAGUACCAUAAGGCUUCGGCUGCGUGGAUAGUGUUCCUAAUCAGACUUCCAAGAAAAUCCUCUAAGCUUCAGGUACAACAAACCCGUACCGUAAACCGACACAGGUAGUCGAGGAGAGAAUCCUAAGGUGCUCGAGUGAUUCAUGGCUAAGGAACUCGGCAAAAUGGCCCUGUAACUUCGGGAGAAGGGGCGCCUCUAGCAAUAGAGGCCGCAGUGAAAAGGCCCAGGCGACUGUUUAACAAAAACACAUGGCUAUGCUAAAUCGAAAGAUGAUGUAUAUGGCCUGACACCUGCCCGGUGCUGGAAGGUUAAGAGGGGAUGUUAGUAGCAAUACGAAGCAUUGAAUCGAAGCCCCAGUAAACGGCGGCCGUAACUAUAACGGUCCUAAGGUAGCGAAAUUCCUUGUCGGGUAAGUUCCGACCUGCACGAAUGGUGUAACGAUCUGGGCGCUGUCUCAGCCAUGAGCUCGGUGAAAUUGUGGUAUCGGUGAAGACGCCGGUUACCCGCAACGGGACGGAAAGACCCCAUGCACCUUCACUAUAGCUUAACAUUGAUUUUGGAUACAAGAUGUGUAGGAUAGGUGGGAGGCUAUGAGCCGGUAUCGCUAGGUAUCGGGGAGCCAACGUUGAAAUACCACCCUUUUUGUAUUCGGAAUCUAACCCGCCCAAGGCGGGGACAUUGUUUGGUGGGUAGUUUGACUGGGGUGGUCGCCUCCAAAAGAGUAACGGAGGCUUUCAAAGGUAUGCUCAGUACGCUUGGUAACCGUACGAGGAGUGCAAUAGCAUAAGCAUGCUUGACUGUGAGGCCGACAAGCCGAUCAGGUACGAAAGUAGGAUAUAGUGAUCCGGUGGUUCUGCAUGGAAGGGCCAUCGCUCAAAGGAUAAAAGGUACGCUGGGGAUAACAGGCUGAUCUCCCCCAAGAGCUCAUAUCGACGGGGAGGUUUGGCACCUCGAUGUCGGCUCGUCACAUCCUGGGGCUGGAGAAGGUCCCAAGGGUUGGGCUGUUCGCCCAUUAA